GAUGAACGCUGGCGGCGUGCCUAAUACAUGCAAGUCGAGCGAACAGACGAGGAGCUUGCUCCUUUGACGUUAGCGGCGGACGGGUGAGUAACACGUGGGUAACCUACCUAUAAGACUGGGAUAACUUCGGGAAACCGGAGCUAAUACCGGACAAUAUUUCGAACCGCAUUGUUCGAUAGUGAAAGAUGGCUCUGCUAUCACUUAUAGAUGGACCUGCGCCGUAUUAGCUAGUUGGAAAGGUACCGGCUACCAAGGCAACGAUACGUAGCCGACCUGAGAGGGGGAUCGGCCACACUGGAACUGAGACACGGUCCAGACUCCUACGGGAGGCAGCAGUAGGGAAUCUUCCGCAAUGGGCGAAAGCCUGACGGAGCAACGCCGCGUGAGUGAUGAAGGUCUUCGGGUCGUAAAACUCUGUUAUUAGGGAAGAACAAACGUGUAAGUAACUGUGCACGUCUUGACGGUACCUAAUCAGAAAGCCACGGCUAACUACGUGCCAGCAGCCGCCGUAA
rnacentral:rRNA from 1 species